rnacentral:rRNA from 1 species
UACAGAGGUCUCAAGCGUUGUUCGGAUUCAUUGGGCGUAAAGGGUGCGUAGGCGGUGUGGUAAGUCGAGUGUGAAAUCUCGGGGCUCAACCCCGAAACUGCACUCGAUACUGCCAUGCUUGAGGAUUGUAGAGGAGAUCGGAAUUCACGGUGUAGCAGUGAAAUGCGUAGAUAUCGUGAGGAAGACCAGUUGCGAAAGCGGAUCUCUGGGCAACUCCUGACGCUGAGGCACGAAGGCUAGGGGAGCAAACGGG